rnacentral:lncRNA from 1 species
UGUAACAUUGAUUUAUACUUUCAUGCAGACUCACACGAGCAAGUUCCAGCAAACUCAAGCAGAGCAUUCUGUAAGAAUUUCAAUUAAUUGCUUAAUAAUCUAAUUAAUUAAAAUUCCAGCAUAAUAUUGAAGAAAUCAAAAGGCAAAAAAGAGUAAAGACCUCCGUGUUGUUAUGGUCUUGGACGGCGAAGCGAGCGAGGUCUUGGUUUCGAGGCUGUUCUGGGAGGCAUGGGAUUCGUGGACUCCGCCGAGAGUGGCCAUGUUUUGGAGUUGGGAGGGAUUUGAUUCUUCUGCCAAGGAUGAGAAUGCGAGGAAAGGUAAGAAGACGAAGAGGUUGAGUUGCAUAAACAGACGCAAGGAGGAAGAAGAAGAUGAUUUCGAUUUCAAUUUCGGCGGAGGACAC